CAUCGGCGUGAGGCGGCGGGAGAAAACAACUGGUGUGGACAGUGCGGGGUGGGAGGACUUCACGCGGGAUCUGUGUCCCCCCACACUCCUCCGCUGAGUUAACAUGGUUACCAAGCAAUUACUGGAAAAUUGAGAAAGUGGUCGUUGAACACGCCGAAGGUUGAAUCCUGCGCUCUCUCUAGCAACCUUGACGCCAUGGAUGCCAUGACGGGAAGGAAGGAGCCUAUUUUGCAGAAGAGUCAGAGAGGCUUUGUGUAUCUUUUUGUCAUUUUUCAAAGAGAAAUAUGGCCUUUUCUUCCUCAUUGAAACUUCUUUCACAAUAGACUGGGUUGAAUAUGUGAAGAAGGACUGGGUUUCACCAAAACCCGCUUGUUGAAGGCAGAGGGGGUUUGAAGCCCCAGCAGGAGCAAGGACAUCUGAGUUCUAAGCAGCAGGUCACUAGCCCCACGAACUUGAGCAGGAACCUUGGGCUAAGCUUCUCUCUGAAGGACGCAGUAGAUUAAAUCAUGUACAGAAGGGGCUUUAAGAAUAUUAAAAGCAU